AGAACGACAACAUGAUCAAACGCAUGUUCAAAACCAACUUGAAAAAUUGCAUCUUCUUGAACAGGAGUAUAACAAGCUUACCACGAUGCAGGCCCUUGCAGAAAAAAAAAGGCAAGAGUUAGAAGCAAAACUCCAUCAAGAAGAACAGGAAAGGAAACGUAUGCAAGCUAAGGCAGCCCAGACUGGUCUAGAAACAAAUAGACUUAUCUUUGAAGAUAAGGCAACUUCAUGUGUUCCCAAUGCAAAAAGAAUUUUAAAAAGGAAGUCAAAACCACCA